rnacentral:lncRNA from 1 species
UUAAGAAAGUUCCAUUUUGUAUGAAUCAAUAUUCAACUUUUUGAUCAAUUAAACAUAAUUUAUAAUUGAUCAAAUAUCAUUACAAGGAUAAACAUGAAGCAUGGAUAAUUAAAUAUGACAUAAUUAUUCAAAAUUGGAACAUAUAAGCUUCCACAACCAAAUGCCAAAGACAAAUGUUUCACCAGCCAUUCCCAUGGCAAUCACAUAAUUAAUGUUUCAAAAACAUCCAAAUAAACUAUCCAAUAUGUCGAGAUAACCAUCCAAUGUAGCAUUUAAUGCUUUAGGUAGUCCAUCCAUGUGGUCACCUCCUCAGCCAAUAUCCUACUCACCUUUAUCUUUGGUCCCCGCAAUAUGUCAAACAUAUGAGAACCAACUUUGAGGUAUCAUAUACCUUUAAUAUAUAAAGUAGAAUUAUUUAGCAAAUGGUACCUGAAUCAAAAGCAAUAAGAAAAAUUAGCAAUAACUACUCUUAAAGUAAUUUAAAACAAAAUAACAUAAAAUUUAACUUAAAUAACUUAAAUUAACUACUCAACAUGUAAUCAAACUUAUACUAGAAAAACACCUAAAAUGCUACGAUCUAAACCUAAAAUCUCAAAGAUCUAACUAAUUAAGCCCCAAAAUGUGUCAAAAUAACUCUAUAUAAGAGAGUUAUCAGCACUCAUAGAAAAGUAAUCUUCAGAUAUCACAAGUAAUUUUAAAGUUUUGAAAAUAUUAAAUGUUACCUACUGGUUUUGAACUCACAAAGUGAGCUCACCUUUUUCAACAUCAAUCAAAGCUCUAGCAGUUGCCAAGAAUGGCCUCCCAAGGAUUAUUGGAAUUUGCCUAUCUUCUUCCAUGUCAAGAAUUAUAGAAUCAACUGAAAAAAUAAAUCUAUCUACCUUGACAAGAACAUCUUCAAUAAUUCCCCUAGGGUAGACAUAAGAGCAAUUAGCCAGUUACAAAGUAACAAAAAUGGGUUUGCAUUUCCCUAAACCAAGUUUCUCAAAAAUUUUCCAAGACAUUAAAUUUAUACUUGCACCUAAAUCACUCAAAGCUUUUGCAAAAAAUGAAUUACCAAUAGUGCAAGGGAUUAUAAAACUACCUAGAUCUUUGAGUUUUGGUGGUAAUUUAUUUUAGAGAAUUGCACUACAUUCUUCUGUAAGGGAAACAGUUUCAAACUCAUCUAGUUUUCUCUUUUUGGAAAGGAUGUUAUUCAAGAACUUGACAUAGCUUGGCAUUUGUUCCAAAGCUUUAGCAAAAGGAAUAGUUAUGUGUAAUUUCUUAAAGACAUUGAUGAACUUUUGAAAUUACUUUUCAAGCUUUUGCUUUUGGAGCCUUUGGGGAAAAGGUGGUGGACGAUGGAUGACUUGAGAAGUCCCUUGAUUUUCAGCUUUUUCAUCUUCUUUCUAUUCAACUUCAAUUGCUUUUACACACAUUCCUUCCUCCUCAUCAAUAGGUUCAUUCACAUAUUCAACUGCUUUUUCAUUCACCCCUUCAAUUUCUUUUCCACCUCUUAAAGUGAUUGCUUUGCAUUGUUCCUUACCUUUGGGAUUGAUUUAUGUGUCACUUGGUAAGGCACCUUGGGGUCUAUUAUUGAUGAAAUUUGCAAGCUAUCUUAUUUGGGUUUCAAGAUUUCUUAAGGAGGCUUCAUAGCUUUGAAUUAUAGCAUCAUUCUUUGAUAUAUAUUGCAAGAGAAGUUCUUCCACUUGGGACUUCUUUUCAGGAAUUGGUGGUCUAGCUUGUUGUUGAAAACCAGGAGGCAUGAUGGAUUUUGGAUUUGAAUGCCCUGCGCUGUUGUUCCAUGAAAAGUUGGGGUGGUUUCUCCAAACCAAGAUUAUAUGUAUUGAAGUAUGGAUUAUUUUGCUGCCUGUUGAAGUUUCCCACAAAUUGGACUGAUUCAGAAUUAUAUGGACAUUGAUCACUUGAAUGGCUAUCUCCACACAUCUCAUAACCUACAAAUGAAUUUUGAAUAGCAUGAACUCCUAGUGUGUCAAACUUUUUGGAUAGUGCAACCACUUGUGCAAUUAAGGCCUUAAGCACAUCAACCUCAUACGUCCCAACAACUUUUCUCGAACCAGACCUUUCUAAAAGCCUUUAGUAAUUAUUUAAGGCCAUCUUUUCCAAUAGAUUAUAAGCAUCUGCAACAUUCUUACCCAUCAAUGCCCCACCAAUAGCAGCAUUAAUUGUGGUUUUUAUCAAACCAACCAGCCCACUAUAGAAUGUCUGAACUUACAACCAAUCAGGAAUCCCAUGAUAUGGACAUCUUCUCAGUAGUUUUUUAAACCUCUCCCAAACUUCAUAUAAGGAUUCACCUUCAAAUUGUGUGAAUGAAGUUAUAUCGUUCCUCAUCUUUGUAGUCAUGGCAGGUAGAAAGAAUUCUGUUAGAAACUUUUGAGCUAAGUAGUCCCAUGUAGUAAUAAACUCAUUGGGUAGUGAAUUAAGCCAGCUCUUUGCUUUAUCCCUCAAAGAAAAUGGAAAGAAUCUUAAUCUAAUAGCAUCAUUAAUUACUCUAUUGUAUUUGAAUGUAUCACAAAUUUCCAAAAAAUUCACCAAAUGAGAGUUAAGAUCAUCACUGGGUAACCCACCAAACUGGACUGAAGAUUGAAUCAUCUAAAUGUAAGUUGGUUUAGUUUCAAAAUUAUUUGCAUUGAUGGAAGGUUUUUUAAUGCUUUAGUGCAAACCUUGCAAAAGAGGAACAUCAUAAUCCCACAGUAAGUUGGUUUAGUUUCAAAAUUAUUUGCAUUGAUGGAAGGUUUUUUAAUGCUUUAGUGCAAACCUUGCAAAAGAGGAACAUCAUAAUCCCACAGUGCUCUAUUUUCUUCAAGAACCAUUGUUUGAUUAAAGUUGCAACUUGAAAAUUCUCCCUUCGAUGUUUUUUGAAAGUUCUUUCUAUCUCAAGGUCAAAAAGAACAAGAAUCAAGUUGCUUUUUCUUGCAUACAAUGACCAAAGAUAUAUGCAAGCAAACAAAAACUAUUAUUAAAAUAAGAAAAAUAAAAUUUGAAGUAAGAUUAAA